rnacentral:rRNA from 1 species
AUUGAACGCUGGCGGCAGGCCUCACACAUGCAAGUCGAGCGAGCGCCGGACGGGUGUGUAAUGUACGGGGAUCUGCCCGAUAGCGGGGGAUAACUACUGGAAACGGUGGUUAUUACCGCAUACUAUCGGAUGAACCCAUAUGUGAUUAGCUAGUAGGUGGGGUAAAGGCUCACCUAGGCGACGAUCUCUAGCUGUUCUGAGAGGAUGAUCAGCCACACUGGGACUGAGACACGGCCCAGACUCCUACGGGAGGCAUCAGUGGGGAAUAUUGCACAAUGGGGGCAAGCCUGAUGCAGCCAUGCCGCGUGUAUGAAGAAGGCCUUAGGGUUGUAAAGUACUUUCAGCGGGGAGGCGUUACCCGCAGAAGAAGCACCGGCUAAGUCCGUGCCAGCAGCCGCGGUAAUUC